AUGGCGGUGGCUGACGGCCUGCUGAAACUGGAGCCCCCAGGCACUGGGAAGCAGCCCAGGAUGCCUUCGCGAGCACGGCUGCGACACCCCGGCGGCGAUGAGCUGCCAGCGCGGGGACAAUGGCCAUCAUCUGUCUGGCAGCAGGGAGCCGGCGGGACAGACGGACGCUGCAGACGCGCAGCAGGCUGCGGCUGGGCCCAGCAGGGCGGGCAGCUAAUGACACGCCGGGGCGAGGAGUGGGGGAGCUGCGGGGACCUUUGGGCUGCUCCCGGGCACCAGCUUUGCUCCCUCAUUAGCGGCUCGGCUCCCCGAGCACGGCAAUCCCAGCACCUGGGGGCCGCAGCGCCCGCCCGCUGCCUGCAGCACACCAGCCCCCCCCGCCCAGCUCGCUGGCCUCCGCUCCCGAAAAGCCAUUCUCCUCCUCGCAGGAUAAACAGCGCCUGCCGCCCAUCUGCGCUGCGGCGGCGUUCACCCCUGGGCGGCUCUGCUUACAGAAAAGGCCAGCUCCAACCCAAACAGACGCUUCCGCUGCAACCUAAUCCUGCCGCCGCCGCCGUGGCCGGGAAGGGCCAGCUGCAGCGCUGCUGCCCGGCACCCCUGGGAGCCAGCCUGCGCCCCGGCCCCGGGUGGGUGGGGGGCCCGCCGUCCCCCCCCGCAGCCGGGCACCCACUCGGGGUGGUGCUGGCCCCAGGGAGGGGUGCACGGCGCACGGCUGCUGCCCGGGGCGGAUGGACAGGGCCGGGGGUGCUCGUUUACCUCGGAGGAGCGCGGCCAAGGUCGCGCGGCCGCCUGCGCGGCUGGGCAGGGCGCCGGGGGGAGGCCGCGGGGCGGGAAGGGGACUCAGGCCCGGAGGAGGGGUGCAGCCGGACCCGGGCGGUCGGUGCACGGAAGCGGGGGGUGCCGGGCUCGCAGGGCAGCCCAGCCCAGCUGCCACCCCCCGGCCGGGCACAGCAGUCGUCCCCAGCCCGCUGCAGCCGCAGCGCUGCGCCUCAGCCAAAAGCCCCCUCCCUGGCUUAUCUCCACGGGGACCUAUUUUGGGCAGGAAUGAGGAAGCUCUCCAUUCCCUUGCUAAAAAUAGGGACCUUUCUCCGAGCGGGGUCACUGCAUUCACACUGGCGAGCGGGGCUGGGAAGGAAGAGGGGGGCGGCAGGAAGCUGGGGCCCCGCGAGCCCCCGUCCCGCAGCACGGGGCGGCCGCUUCCCCGGCCCGGGGGCCUUCGCCGCGGGGACCCCUCGCACGGCGGGUCCCGCCGGGGUGGCCCCUCGCGGGAACGUGCCCCCGGCCCCCCCCGAGGUGCUGGGGCAGGGCCAGGCCUUGCCCCGGCGGAGCAGGGGGGGCCGGGACGCCUGGGUCCCUCCCCACCGCGGCAUCUCCCCACCCGCGGCCUUGCCCCGCAUCCUCCGAGACGGGGCGGCGGGGAAGGCGCCCGCGGGGGGAUCCUGGCGCCGGCGUGUGGCCUCGCAAAGGGGCUCCAACACCUCCAUCUAG
rnacentral:lncRNA from 1 species